UACGGGGGGAGCAAGCGUUGUUCGGAUUUACUGGGCGUAAAGGGCGCGUAGGCGGCCACCGCAAGUCGGUUGUGAAAUCUCCGGGCUUAACCCGGAAAGGUCAAUCGAUACUGCGGGGCUAGAGUGCAGAAGGGGCAACUGGAAUUCUCGGUGUAGCGGUGAAAUGCGUAGAUAUUGGGAGGAACACCGGUGGCGAAGGCGGCUACCUGGACCGGUUCUGACGCUGAUGCGCGAAAGCGUGGGGAGCAAACAGG
rnacentral:rRNA from 1 species